AGAGUUUGAUCAUGGCUCAGGACGAACGCUGGCGGCGUGCCUAAUACAUGCAAGUCGAGCGGUUGAAGCCUUCGGGCUGAGAUAGCGGCGGACGGGUGAGUAACACGUAGGUAACCUGCCUAACAGACUGGGAUAACUACCGGAAACGGUAGCUAAGACCGGAUACGAUCAUUUGGGGGCAUCCUUGGAUGAUGAAAAGCGGAGUAAUCUGCUACUGAUAGAUGGACCUGCGGCGCAUUAGCUAGUUGGUGAGGUAGUGGCUCACCAAGGCGACGAUGCGUAGCCGACCUGAGAGGGUGAACGGCCACACUGGGACUGAGACACGGCCCAGACUCCUACGGGAGGCAGCAGUAGGGAAUCUUCGGCAAUGGACGAAAGUCUGACCGAGCAACGCCGCGUGAGUGAUGAAGGUUUUCGGAUCGUAAAACUCUGUUGCCAGGGAAGAAUGGCUAGGCGAGUAACUGCGCUUAGUAUGACGGUACCUGAGAAGAAAGCCCCGGCUAACUACGUGCCAGCAGCCGCGGUAAUACGUAGGGGGCAAGCGUUGUCCGGAAUUAUUGGGCGUAAAGCGCGCGCAGGCGGUCAUUUAAGUCUGGUGUAUAAACCAAGGGCUCAACCUUUGGACGCAUUGGAAACUGGGUGACUGGAGUGUAGGAGAGGAAAGUGGAAUUCCACGUGUAGCGGUGAAAUGCGUAGAGAUGUGGAGGAACACCAGUGGCGAAGGCGACUUUCUGGCCUAUAACUGACGCUGAGGCGCGAAAGCGUGGGGAGCAAACAGGAUUAGAUACCCUAGUAGUCC
rnacentral:rRNA from 1 species